rnacentral:lncRNA from 1 species
GCUUUGCAUCUUUUCCUUUUGGACGGAAUCCUUUCUGCACUGUUAGUCCUUCCAUGUGAUUUGAGUGAGACUGACCCUGCCUACCAACCCAGGGGUGGCCAACCAGAGUACUCUAUUUCCUGGCUACAAUGAUUGACUUAGUGAGGAGUCUGUGAUCCCAGAAGGUACCAUAGGAGUCAUUCUUGUAAUAAUUUUUGAAGCUAGUGAGAAAGAUGUGUUCUGUUUUUUGGGGGUGGAGGAGUGGGGUGAGGAAUAGCUAUUGUAACAAUAGAUUAAGAUUCAAGUGUUCUCCUUUGCCACUGAUAAGGAAGAACUUGCCUGAAAAAGAAGCCAAUAGAAAGGAAAGCCGAGUCAAGAAAUGGAGAAGAAGACAGAUUGCCAAUGACAAAAGUUAACCUUCUGGAAUCAGCUACAUAUUGAAAUUUCCUAUUAUGUAGCCCAAUCAAUUUUCUUAUGUGUUUAAGCUAGAUUGAGUUGAGUUUCCAUCAUUUGAAGUUACGAAUCCUUUCUUUGCACCAAAGGUGCAAAAAACUUAUCCCAGAUCAGUCUAACCAUCUGUCUUCUCUCUACACCUGGGAUCUUAAAAAUACUUAUAAAAAGUGUUAUAAGAACAGCUCAGAGAUGCAAAGUUCUGCCAGAGAUCACAUAAGCUUGUGGGUUGGUG